rnacentral:rRNA from 1 species
GAUGAACGCUGGCGGCGUGCCUAAUACAUGCAAGUCGAGCGAACAAACGAGGAGCUUGCUCCUCUGACGUUAGCGGCGGACGGGUGAGUAACACGUGGAUAACCUACCUAUAAGACUGGGAUAACUUCGGGAAACCGGAGCUAAUACCGGAUAAUAUAUUGAACCGCAUGGUUCAAUAGUGAAAGACGGUUUUGCUGUCACUUAUAGAUGGAUCCGCGCCGCAUUAGCUAGUUGGUAAGGUAACGGCUUACCAAGGCAACGAUGCGUAGCCGACCUGAGAGGGUGAUCGGCCACACUGGAACUGAGACACGGUCCAGACUCCUACGGGAGGCAGCAGUAGGGAAUCUUCCGCAAAGGGCGAAAGCUUGACGGAGCAACGCCGCGUGAGUGAUGAAGGUCUUCGGAUCGUAAAACUCUGUUAUUAGGGAAGAACAAAUGUGUAAGUAACUAUGCACGUCUUGACGGUACCUAAUCAGAAAGCCACGGCUAACUACGUG